rnacentral:tRNA from 1 species
AAUAAUGAAGUAAAAUUUACAUUUAGUUUCGACCUAAAAUUAGGUUAUUAAUAAUUAACCCUUAUUU